UACGGGGGGGGCAAGCGUUGUUCGGAAUUACUGGGCGUAAGGGCGCGUAGGCGGUUCGCUAAGUCGGAUGUGAAAACUCUGGGCUCAACCCAGAGCCUGCAUCCGAAACUGGCGGCUAGAGUUCUGGAGGGGGUAGCGGAAUUCCUGGUGUAGCGGUGAAAUGCGUAGAUAUCAGGAGGAACACCGGUGGCGAAGGCGGCUACCUGGACAGAAACUGACGCUGAGGCGCGAAAGCUAGGGGAGCAAACAGG
rnacentral:rRNA from 1 species